rnacentral:rRNA from 1 species
CCUACGGGGGGCAGCAGUGAGGAAUAUUGGUCAAUGGUCGGGAGACUGAACCAGCCAAGCCGCGUGAGGGAGGAAGGUACAGAGUAUCGUAAACCUCUUUUGUCAGGGAACAAAGGCGGGGACGUGUCCCCGGAUGAGUGUACCUGAAGAAAAAGCAUCGGCUAACUCCGUGCCAGCAGCCGCGGUAAUACGUAGGUGGCAAGCGUUAUCCGGAUUUACUGGGUGUAAAGGGCGUGUAGGCGGGACUGCAAGUCAGAUGUGAAAACCACGGGCUCAACCUGUGGCCUGCAUUUGAAACUGUAGUUCUUGAGUACUGGAGAGGCAGACGGAAUUCCUAGUGUAGCGGUGAAAUGCGUAGAUAUUAGGAGGAACACCAGUGGCGAAGGCGGUCUGCUGGACAGCAACUGACGCUGAGGCGCGAAAGCGUGGGGAGCAAACAGGAUUAGAUACCCGGGUAGUC